AUUGAACGCUGGCGGCGUGCUUUACACAUGCAAGUCGGACGAGUGGCGAACGGGUGAGUAACGCAUCGGAACGUACCUAGUCAUGGGGGAUAACUGUCCGAAAGGACAGCUAAUACUGCAUAAUAUUCUAGCGGCCGAUGUUUGAUGAGCUGGUUGGCGUGGUAAAGGCCCACCAAGGCGACGAUCAGUAGCGGGUCUGAGAGGAUGAUCCGCCACACUGGGACUGAGACACGGCCCAGACUCCGACGGGAGGCAGCAGUGGGGAAUUUUGGACAAUGGGCGCAAGCCUGAUCCAGCCAUGCCGCGUGUCUGAAGAAGGCCUUCGGGUUGUAAAGGACUUUUGUCAGGGAAGCGGUACCUUAAGAAUAAGCACCGGCUAACUACGUGCCAGCCGCCGCGGUAAUAC
rnacentral:rRNA from 1 species